UACGUAGGGGGCAAGCGUUGGUCCGGAAUCAUUGGGCGUAAAGCGCGUGUAGGCGGUCCGGUAAGUCCGCUGUGAAAGUCCAGGGCUCAACCCUGGGAUGCCGGUGGAUACUGGCGAGCUAGAGUGUGUCAGAGGAUGGUGGAAUUCCCGGGUGUAGCGGAUGAAAUGCGCAGAUAUCGGGAAGAACACCCGUGGCGAAGGCGGCUCUCUGG
rnacentral:rRNA from 1 species